GAUGAACGCUGGCGGCGUGCCUAAUACAUGCAAGUCGAGCGAACAGACGAGGAGCUUGCUCCUCUGACGUUAGCGGCGGACGGGUGAGUAACACGUGGAUAACCUACCUAUAAGACUGGGAUAACUUCGGGAAACCGGGGCUAAUACCGGAUAAUAUAUUGAACCGCAUGGUUCAAUAGUGAAAGACGGUUUUGCUGUCACUUAUAGAUGGAUCCGCGCCGCAUUAGCUAGUUGGUAAGGUAACGGCUUACCAAGGCAACGAUGCGUAGCCGACCUGAGAGAGUGAUCGGCCACACUGGAACUGAGACACGGUCCAGACUCCUACGGGAGGCAGCAGUAGGGAAUCUUCCGCAAUGGGCGAAAGCCUGACGGAGCAACGCCGCGUGAGUGAUGAAGGUCUUCGGAUCGUAAAACUCUGUUAUUAGGGAAGAACAAAUGUGUAAGUAACUAUGCACGUCUUGACGGUACCUAAUCAGAAAGCCACGGCUAACUACGUG
rnacentral:rRNA from 1 species